UUCAAAAAACAUGUAGUGAUU
ensembl:piRNA 21ur-5554 ncRNA